CAAGUUAAACCUAAGGGGUUAUGUUAUUUACAAUAACAUAUAUGUUUGUGCAAUUCAAUCUAACUUGA
rnacentral:tRNA from 1 species